rnacentral:sRNA from 1 species
GUCAGCCGGGCGUCGCGCCAUCCGUCCCUCGAUGCGGCGUUCGGUUUCGGGCAAGGCCCGCGGAGACGCGCCGUCUGUUCCGGGCGGCGCGUC